rnacentral:rRNA from 1 species
AUUGAACGCUGGCGGCAUGCUUUACACAUGCAAGUCGAACGGUAACAGGCCGCAAGGUGCUGGCGAGUGGCGAACGGGUGAGUAAUGCAUCGGAACGUGCCCAGUCGUGGGGGAUAACUUCACGUAAGAGUAGCUAAUACCGCAUACGAUCUAUGGUUCAAAGCGGGGGACGGUGAGGCAUCGCGCGAUUGGAGCGGGCGAUGUCAGAUUAGGUAGUUGGUGGGGUACAGGUUCACCAAGGCGACGAAUUGUACCUGUUAGGAGAGGACGAGCAGCCACACUGGGACUGAGACACGGCCCAGACUCCUACGGGAGGCAGCAGUGGGGAAUUGUGGACAAGGGGCGCAAGCCAUAUCCAGCAAUGCCGCGUGCAGGAAGAAGGCCGUCGGGUUGGAAACUGCUGUUGUACGGAACGAAACGGCUCUGGUUAAUAACCGGGGCUAAUGACGGUACCGUAAGAAUAAGCACCGGCUAACUACGUG